AAUAUUAAAAUAGCAAAAAACUCCAUUUCUACGAACCCAACCAUAAUUUCCUCUCUAAUCAACAUGAAACCCUGUUUGCGACCUCGAUUGUGUUUGAUUGGGUUCUUCGUCGGAUUUUGAGUGAUUGUGGUCGAGUUUAGUUCCUGGAGCGUUGGGUUUAGGGUUUGGUCGAGUUGAGUUCUUGGAGCGUUGAGUUCUUCGAUUGGGUUCUUGACUAGGGAUUUGGCGGCUCCAUGGUUUUCUAAUCCUCAUCUUCAGACUGCUUUUCUGGGCUUCUUUGAGGCAUCCUGAAUUCAGCUAUAAAAGAGAUGCAUGUGUAGGCUGCUCUGCUCAAACGAAGCACCGGAGAGAUGCAGAAAUUAGGCGACUUCAAGCUACCCCAGUUCUUCAACUAUCCACCCUACUUUACUUUGCAGCCAGUGAGAGACACCAGAGAGAAGCAGGUACAACUUUGGAAGGAACUUAUUCUUGAUUAUUGUAGGACUCAAAAGAUAUUUGUUAUUGGAUUGGAAGAAGAAUUUCCUCUUUUUUCAAAUCCUGUGAUUGAAAGAUCCCUCAGUCAUGAAGCUAGGGAGGCAUUCCUCUCUGCUUUAGUUUCAGAAGGACGUGCAGAAUGGAUGGAUAAAGGACAUAGGAAAUGUCUUAUCCUCUGGCAUCGGAUUCAAGACUGGGCUGACACUAUUUUAUGCUUUGUGAAGGAUAAUGGGUUGGAAGACAGUGUAAUGACAGUUGAGGAAAUACGUUCAGGGACUGAAUCUCGAGGAACAGGAAAGUCUGCAAUGCAGCAUCAUUUAAAUUUCUACAAGAAAAACAGCCUGCCCCUUAAUUUGGGAAAAGGAGAAAGUCGUGGUUCCUUUAGUAGAUUGAGCCAUGCUUAUGAAAAUGUUGAGAGCAACCAUGCUAGUGAGCCUGCAUUUCUAUCUGUAAAAAUUGAUUAUUUUGGGGUACAAUCCAGCUUGAUGGAUGUCAAGUAGGACCAUUAAAGUUUUGCAUUAUCAAAUCCCAAGCAUCAUCUGGAAGUUUGUGGGAAUGCAUUACCUGUGAAAAAAGGCGCAAAGAAAAAGAGCUUCAUGGAAUGGAUCGGACAGUUUUAAUGCGAGCUCUGAGACUACUUGAGCAUAAGGGGAGGCUUGCGAUCUUCAAAGGAACUUCAGCUGAUGAUGAGGGCGUGAAAUUCUCUG